rnacentral:rRNA from 1 species
AGUCGAACGAAACUUCUUUAUCACCGAGUGCUUGCACUCACCGAUAAAGAGUUGAGUGGCGAACGGGUGAGUAACACGUGGGCAACCUGCCCAAAAGAGGGGGAUAACACUUGGAAACAGGUGCUAAUACCGCAUAACCAUAGUUACCGCAUGGUAACUAUGUAAAAGGUGGCUAUGCUACCGCUUUUGGAUGGGCCCGCGGCGCAUUAGCUAGUUGGUGGGGUAAAGGCUUACCAAGGCAAUGAUGCGUAGCCGAACUGAGAGGUUGAUCGGCCACAUUGGGACUGAGACACGGCCCAAACUCCUACGGGAGGCAGCAGUAGGGAAUCUUCCACAAUGGGCGAAAGCCUGAUGGAGCAACGCCGCGUGGGUGAAGAAGGUCUUCGGAUCGUAAAACCCUGUUGUUAGAGAAGAAAGUGCGUGAGAGUAACUGUUCACGUUUCGACGGUAUCUAACCAGAAAGCCACGGCUAACUACGUGCCAGCAGCCGCGGUAAUACGUAGGUGGCAAGCGUUAUCCGGAUUUAUUGGGCGUAAAGGGAACGCAGGCGGUCUUUUAAGUCUGAUGUGAAAGCCUUCGGCUUAACCGGAGUAGUGCAUUUGGAAACUGGGAGACUUGAGUGCAGAAGAGGAGAGUGGAACUCCAUGUGU